rnacentral:lncRNA from 1 species
UGGGAACUGGGGAAUAGAGUUUCAAAUGUUAAGAAAAUUAAAGCAAACAAACAAUUGUAUACACAAAACUCUUUAAAACCGAUAUUUAUAAUAUGUAGUAUAAAAGAUCCAUAGGUACAAAGGGCUACACACUGUGGCCACAAAGGAAUUUGUAGUUUUAGCCAGAGAGAAGUCUCAUCCUUAUACUCCAAAACAAAAAUCACUAAUAUUUGAACUAAAGGAGAGUCUCCAUUAGCACCUGUAGCCUUCAGGCUCAUGACACACAUUUGAGAAGGUCAAAGAUCCCAUCCAGCAGAAGGCAGAGACCCACACACAACUGCCAGUACAUAUAUUUAUUUUGAUUUGACAUUUAAAAAUGCCCACACAAAACUCUGAGUACCCCAGUGAUAAUUAAGUGUGUAAUGAACAGGUCGGAUUAUGAACAGGAGGCUGCCAGGCAUCUCUCCAAGACCACAUUCUACAGGCCACUAUCCUCUGAUCCCACUGAGGAAUACCAAAAGAAACUACACCAUCUGCUCCAGAAAUUCCCAGCUACAGUACGGGAACAAAUCUACAUGGACACACCCCCAGAACCCCGACCAGGGGUAUUCUAUCUGCUACCCAAGAUCCAUAAACCCGGAAACCCUGGACGCCCCAUCAUCUCAGGCAUUGGCACUCUUACAGCAGGAUUAUCUGGCUAUUUGGACUCUCUCCUCAGACCCUACGCUACCAGCACUCCCAGCUAUCUUCGAGAUACCACCGACUUCCUGAGGAAACUACAAUGCAUUGGUGUUCUUCCUGAAAACACCAUCCUGGCCAUCAUGGAUGUAGAAGCACUUUACACCAAUAUUCCACAUGAGGAUGGACUACAAGCUGUCAGGAACAGUAUCCCUGAUGAGGCCACAACACGCCUGGUGGCUGAGCUUUGUGACUUUGUCCUCACCCACAACCACUUCAGAUUUGGGGACAACUUAUACCUUCAAGUCAGUGGCACUGCUAUGGGUACCCGCAUGGCCCCACAGUAUGCCAACAUUUUUAUGGCUGACUUAGAACAACGCUUCCUCAGCUCUCAUCCCCUAGUGCCCCUACUCUACUUGCGCUACAUUAAUGACAUCUUCAUCAUAUGGACCCACGGAAAGGAGGCCCUUGAAGAAUUCCAUCUGGACUUCAACAAUUUCCACCCCACCAUCAAUCUCAGCCUGGACCAGUCUACACAAGCGAUCCACUUCCUGGACACUACAGUGCAAAUAAGUGAUGGUCACAUAAACACCACCCUAUACUGGAAACCUACUGACCGCUAUACGUACCUACAUGCCUCCAGCUUCCAUCCAAGACACAUCACACGAUCCAUUGUCUACAGCCAAGCCCUAAGAUACAACCGAAUUUGCUCCAACCCCUCAGACAGAGACAAACACCUACAAGAUCUUUAUCAAGCAUUCGUAAAACUACAAUACCCACCUAGGGAAGUGAGGGAACAGAUUGACAGAGCAAGACGGGUACCCAGAAAUCACCUACUACAGGACAGGCCCAACAAGGACAAUAACAGAAC